AAGUCUCAAAUUUAGGAUGCAUUUUGUGGAUAAUGAUGCAAAGGUCAUUCACUGGACAGAUGGCCCUUGAAACUUUACAUGAUG